GAUGAAGAACGUAGCGAAAUGCGAUAAGUAAUGUGAAUUGCAGAAUUCAGUGAAUCAUCGAAUCUUUGAACGCAUCUUGCGCUCCUUGGUAUUCUGAGGAGCAUGCCUGUUUGAGUGUCAUUAAAUUCUCAACUACACUGACUUUGAAUUGGUGUGGCUUGGAUUUGGGGGGAAAAUUGUUGUGGGCUUUUUGUAUAGUCUGCUCCCCUGAAAUUGAUUAGCGGUACCUUUGUGGAACUGUCUACAGGUGUGAUAAUUAUCUACAUCUUAGACAUCUGCUGGAAUGCUGCUUUCUAAACCUUACUUGUAUUGACAAUCUUGACCUCAAAUCAGGUAGGACUACCCGCUGAACUUAAGCAUAUCAUAAGCGGAGGA
rnacentral:misc_RNA from 1 species